GACGAACGCUGGCGGCGUGCUUAACACAUGCAAGUCGUACGGUAAGGCCCUUCUGGGGGUACAUGCUUGGGUAACGGGUGGGUAACACGUACGUAACUUGCCUACACUUUAGGUUUAACUCUCGGCAACUGACUCUAUUACAGGACUGGUAUUCUCUCUGCCUGGUUGGGGUUGGAAGGAUCGGGUGGUUGGGGAGGGACUCGCGGCCUAUCUGUCUGUUGGUGGGGUAGUGGCCUACCAAGGCGGCGUCGGGUAGCCGGCCUGAGAGGGUGACCGGCCACAGUGGGACUGGGAUACGGCCCAGACUCCUACGGGAGGCAGCAGUGGGGAAUAUUGCACAAUGGGCGCAAGCCUGAUGCAGCAACGCCGCGUGCGGGAUGACGGCCUUCGGGGUGUAAACCGCUUUCAGCAGGGACGAAGCUUUUUGUGACGGUACCUGCAGAAGAAGCACCGGCUAACUACGUG
rnacentral:rRNA from 1 species